UACGGGGGGGGCAAGCGUUGUUCGGAAUUACUGGGCGUAAAGGGCUCGUAGGUGGCCAACUAAGUCAGACGUGAAAUCCCUCGGCUUAACCGGGGAACUGCAUCUGAUACUGGAUGGCUUGAGUUUGGGAGAGGGAUGCGGAAUUCCAGGUGUAGCGGUGAAAUGCGUAGAUAUCGUAAGGAAGACCAGUGGCGAAGGCGGGUCUCUGGACAGUUCCUGACGCUGAGGCACGAAGGCCAGGGGAGCAAACGGG
rnacentral:rRNA from 1 species